AUUCCUGGAAGUUCAUCCAAGAAGUCCUGAUCUCUGUGUUCAGUAAAAUCAUGUAAGAUCAAAAUAUAAUUCUGAUUUUAGAUCUGACAAAUUCUGUAUCUCUGUUACAAUAGGUACGACAACAAUUCCAUGAUGCCAAAUUCAUGGCAGACAUUGAUCUGGAUCCAGGCUGUACAUUGAAUAAAAAGAUUCGAAAUGCACAGUUAGCGCAGUAUAACUUCAUUUUAGUUGUUGGUGAAAAAGAGAAAAUCAGUGGCACUGUUAAUAUCCGCACAAGAGACAAUAAGGUCCACGGGGAACGCACCAUUUCUGAAACUAUCGAGCGGCUACAGCAGCUCAAAGAGUUCCGCAGCAAACAGGCAGAAGAAGAAUUUUAAUGAAAAAAUUGCCCAGAUUGGCUCCAUGGAAAAGGAGGAACAGCGUUUCCAUAAAAUUGACUUUGUACUCUGAAAACGUCAAUUUAUAUUGAACUUGGAGGAGUUUGGCAGAGUCCGAAUAGGUCAACCUGCAGGCGUAACUAUUUUUGACCUAGUCAGUUUUUAAACAAUGUGCGUUUGAAGGAGUUAAUUAAAAGAGAGCCAAUAAAAUGAUUUUACUCAUUCAGUAUCUGAGUACUGGAAGUGAAACAUGAGGAAUGCUUUAGUGUAAUGUGGGAGAACUUUUUUGUAAAUUUAAUGCGAUUGAAAAAGUUUUCAAAUUCAAUUAAGAUAACUAGAAUUGGAUUAUGGUGUAAAAAUAAAAAAAAAAUUUAUUCACAUAA
rnacentral:sRNA from 1 species